UACGAAGGGGGCUAGCGUUGCUCGGAAUCACUGGGCGUAAAGGGUGCGUAGGCGGGUCUUUUAAGUCAGGGGUGAAAUCCUGGAGCUCAACUCCAGAACUGCCUUUGAUACUGAAGAUCUUGAGUUCGGGAGAGGUGAGUGGAACUGCGAGUGUAGAGGUGAAAUUCGUAGAUAUUCGCAAGAACACCGGUGGCGAAGGCGGCUCACUGGCCCGAUACUGACGCUGAGGCACGAAAGCGUGGGGAGCAAACAGG
rnacentral:rRNA from 1 species